rnacentral:rRNA from 1 species
UCGGAGAGUGCAUAAAGUGGCGCACGGGUGAGUAACACGUAAGUAAUCUACCUUCGAGUGGGGAAUAACAUCGGGAAACCGAUGCUAAUACCGCAUAAUGCAGCGGCAUCGCAAGAUGACAGUUGUUAAAGAUUUAUCGCUUGAAGAGGAGCUUGCGGCAGAUUAGCUAGUUGGUAAGGUAAUGGCUUACCAAGGCUACGAUCUGUAACCGGUCUAAGAGGACGGUCGGUCACACUGACACUGAAUAACGGGUCAGACUCCUACGGGAGGCAGCAGUCGGGAAUUUUGGGCAAUGGGCGAAAGCCUGACCCAGCAACGCCGCGUGAAGGAUGAAGUAUUUCGGUAUGUAAACUUCGAAAGAAUAGGAAGAAUAAAUGACGGUACUAUUUAUAAGGUCCGGCUAACUACGUGCCAGCAGCCGCGGUAAUACGUAGGGACCAAGCGUUGUUCGGAUUUACUGGGCGUAAAGGGCGCGUAGGCGGCGUGACAAGUCACUUGUGAAAUCUCCGGGCUUAACUCGGAGCGGCCAAGUGAUACUGUCGUGCUAGAGUGCGGAAGGGGCAACUGGAAUUCUCGGUGUAGCGGUGAAAUGCGUAGAUAUCGAGAGGAACACCUGCGGCGAAGGCGGGUUGCUGGGCCGACACUGACGCUGAGGCGCGAGAGCCAGGGGAGCGAACGGGAUUAGAUACCCCGGUAGUCCU